GUCAGCAUGGUGUAAUGGUUUGAGCACUGGACUAUGACUCUAGAGAUCAGGGUUCAAUUCCCCUCUCAGCUA